CGGUACUUCGUUGUGGUUUAAACUUGCAUUUCUCUGAUGAUUAGUGAUGUUGAGCACUUUUCCUAUGUCUGUUGGUCACUUGUAUGUCUCCUUAUGAGAAAUAUCUGC